ACGAAGGUCCCGAGCGUUGUUCGGAAUCACUGGGCGUAAAGGGAGCGUAGGCGGUGUGGUAAGUCAGAUGUGAAAUCCCGGGGCUCAACCCCGGAACUGCAUCCGAUACUGCCGCACUAGAGGAUUGGAGAGGUAGCUGGAAUUCACGGUGUAGCAGUGAAAUGCGUAGAUAUCGUGAGGAACACUCGUGGCGAAAGCGAGCUACUGGACAACUCCUGACGCUGAGGCUCGAAGGCCAGGGUAGCGAAAGGG
rnacentral:rRNA from 1 species